AGGGAAUGUAGAUUUAAUAGCUGUAAACUGAUGGAGGGUUGUAAGCAGAGGCAAUUGAAAGCUGAUGCAAUGGGAAUGAUUCAGGAUCUGGCAUCGCCAGUUUAAGACUCUGGUGGGGUCCACACAAGACUUCUACCCUUUUAAGAGGUGUCUAUAUAUAGGUGACCAUUAGAAGGUGUAGCUUUCUCUCGUCGUGUAUCUCAUUGCUCUUCUUGUGUCCAUAGCUGUAUGAUAAAGUAUCUACCACGUACAUGUCUGUAUAUAUUUAGUUGUAUAUAAAACCACUGUUAAUUAUUUAAAGGCUCUGUGUGCUGUGUUUUGCUCCUGGGUUUAUCUCAUAAUACUAGUCACUCUGCAAAACUCUGACAGGUUAUGGGCCCAGUCCAGAGAGAGGGCCAGAGUAACUAGAGAGCCUAGAGAGAAGAGAAUCCCAUUGUGAGCUGGCACCAGAGAUGAGGUUGUUGUUUUAUAAACAGCAUUCAGUACUGGGUGCCAGAUGAAAGCAUAGCCAAGAGAUUAGAUUACAUUAUCAAGGGAGAGACACAGGAAGAUGUAUUGAGAAUGGAUCUGCUACUAACCACCAGUAUGAUUCAGUGAGGAUGAGUAUCAAGCAGGCAAG